UACGGAGGGUGCAAGCGUUAUCCGGAUUCACUGGGUUUAAAGGGCGCGUAGGCGGCCAGCGCAAGUCAGUUGUGAAAUCUCCGGGCUUAACUCGGAACGGUCAACUGAUACUGCGCGGCUAGAGUGCAGAAGGGGCAACUGGAAUUCUCGGUGUAGCGGUGAAAUGCGUAGAUAUCGAGAGGAACACCUGCGGCGAAGGCGGGUUGCUGGGCUGACACUGACGCUGAUGCGCGAAAGCCAGGGGAGCGAACGGG
rnacentral:rRNA from 1 species